GAAAGUUCUCGCGGCAAUUUCCAUGUGCGUUUUUCUGUGUUGGAAGAGUCGUGUCGCGUUUGGUUGACGUUUGGAUUGUGCUCUAGGAGAGUGGAUAACGAUGGGUGGAAAUAGAAAGGAUGCGACCUCCAGAAAAAUGAACCUUCAGUGCACAAGGGAUUCCAGAGAAAAACUGUUCGCGCGCGCUCAUACAGGCGACGCCGUCGCCAUCACCAACAGUCUCGCGCUCGGACGCCCAUCGGAUACAGACGGAGGAGAGUGAGGCGCUGGACGAGCCUGUCUCUUGCCGUGCCGAAGACGCUGCGUCGGAAGACCGUCAGUUCCGGUUGGUGAAUCUGGCUGCUCUGACUCCGUCCAGCUGGCCGACGGGCGAGUGCCUACACAGCAGCUCGCUGGCGCCGCCGUUGCGCGCGCGCGUCCAGACGGCAGUGGGCCCGCGGGCCAGCCUCGCAGCAUCUGUAGUGGCCGUGCUGCGCGGAGGAAUGCAUCCGGGAGCUGCCGGAUGAGGCCGUCUGGAUCUGUUCGGACGGGCCGGCGGAGGAUGGUUUGGCGGCGGUGGCUCCCUGCUCCGCUUACCAGAUGGAGACGACUGGGUUAUACGGGUUCCGGCGGGCCGCUUCUGCUCCAGUGCGCGCGCGGAGCUCACCGCGCCCCCGCCCCGGUCCAAGCCGCUACCAGAUGGAGACGACUGGGACAUAUGGGUCCCGGCGGGCCGCUUCUGCUCCAGUGCGCGCGCGGAGCUCACGGCGCCCCCCGCCCCGGUCCGAGCUGCUACCAGGGAGAAGGCUGUUACACUUAUCAGCGCUGGUCGGGCCACUGUAUGUAUGUAUGUAUGUAUGUAUUUACCGAAUAAGGUCGCUCCACUGGUGCAGGGCUAUUCUGCGACCUUCGUCAUAUACAUACAAUGCAAUAUGAGCACACAAUGAACACUUCAUAAAAGACACACUGGGGAUGAUCGGGGCAGCAUCUCCACCGGAUUGAAAGAAGGCCAACGUCCGAGUGCGCCCAGUGCAGUCAGCAGUGACACCGAAUGUCCAACAGGCCGCUGCCUGGUCUGCGGCGAAGCAGCAGACAAUUAGGCGCACGUGUUGCUGGAGUAUCCGUGCUUUUACGGCCUCCGGCUCCGUGCGCGGGGAAACAUCGUCGGCGCGGCCCACGAUGUCGAACGCGACGACAUGGUGGCGAUCUUGGUCGCCGGCUACGAGGCCCACAAGAGCCUUGUUUUGGCUACGGCGGCAGCUAGUUUGGGGACACCACAACA